AUCCCCCCCGGUAAUUCCAGCUCCAAUAGCGUAUAUUAAAGUUGUUGCAGUUAAAAAGCUCGUAGUUGAAUUUCGGGAUCAAUAUUUCGGUCAUGCCGUUGGUAUGCACUGUUAUCAUUGAUUUCUCACCUUCUAAAGAACCGUAAUGCCAUUAAUUUGGUGUUACGGGGAAUUAGGACUGUUACCUUGAAAAAUUUAGAGUGUUUAAAGCAGGCUCACGCUUGAAUACAUUAGCAUGGAAUAAUGAAAUAGGACAUCCGAUUCUAUUUUGUUGGUUUCUAGGAUCGAUGUAAUGAUUAAUAGGGAUAGUUGGGGGCAUUAGUAUUCAAUUGUCAGAGGUGAAAUUCUUGGAUUUAU
rnacentral:rRNA from 1 species